GACGAACGCUGGCGGCGUGCUUAACACAUGCAAGUCGAACGAUGAAGCCUAGCUUGCUAGGUGGAUUAGUGGCGAACGGGUGAGUAAUACGUGAGUGACCUACCUUUGACUCUGGGAUAAGCCUGGGAAACUGGGUCUAAUACCGGAUACGACCAAUCUCCGCAUGGGGUGUUGGUGGAAAGCGUCAUGGAGUGGUUUUAGAUGGGCUCACGGCCUAUCAGCUUGUUGGUGAGGUAAUGGCUUACCAAGGCGACGACGGGUAGCCGGCCUGAGAGGGUGACCGGCCACACUGGGACUGAGACACGGCCCAGACUCCUACGGGAGGCAGCAGUGGGGAAUAUUGCACAAUGGGCGCAAGCCUGAUGCAGCGACGCCGCGUGAGGGAUGACGGCCUUCGGGUUGUAAACCUCUGUUAGCAUCGAAGAAGCGAAAGUGACG
rnacentral:rRNA from 1 species